rnacentral:tRNA from 1 species
GCUGACGUAGCUCAACUGGCAGAGCACUUGAUUUGUAAUCAAGCGGUUGCGAGUUCGACUCUCGCCGUCAGCU